rnacentral:rRNA from 1 species
AGUGGGGAAUUUUGGACAAUGGGGGCAACCCUGAUCCAGCCAUUCCGCGUGAGUGAAGAAGGCCUUCGGGUUGUAAAGCUCUUUCAGCAGGAACGAAACGGUGGCCCCUAAUACGGGCUACUAAUGACGGUACCUGAAGAAGAAGCACCGGCUAACUACGUGCCAGCAGCCGCGGUAAUACGUAGGGUGCGAGCGUUAAUCGGAAUUACUGGGCGUAAAGCGUGCGCAGGCGGUUGUGCAAGACAGGUGUGAAAUCCCCGGGCUUAACCUGGGAACUGCGCUUGUGACUGCAUAACUCGAGUGUGGCAGAGGGGGGUGGAAUUCCACGUGUAGCAGUGAAAUGCGUAGAGAUGUGGAGGAACACCGAUGGCGAAGGCAGCCCCCUGGGUCAACACUGACGCUCAUGCACGAAAGCGUGGGGAGCAAACAGGAUUAGAUACCCUGGUAGUCCACGCCCUAAACGAUGCGAACUAGGUGUUGGGGAAGGAGACUUUCUUAGUACCGCAGCUAACGCGUGAAGUUCGCCGCCUGGGGAGUACGGUCGCAAGAUUAAAACUCAAAGGAAUUGACGGGGACCCGCACAAGCGGUGGAUGAUGUGGAUUAAUUCGAUGCAACGCGAAAAACCUUACCUACCCUUGACAUGUCAGGAAGUCCGCUGAGAGGUGGAUGUGCCCGAAAGGGAACCUGAACACAGGUGCUGCAUGGCUGUCGUCAGCUCGUGCCGUGAGAUGUUGGGUUAAGUCCCGCAACGAGCGCAACCCUUGUCGUUAAUUGCCAUCAUUCAGUUGGGCACUUUAACGAGACUGCCGGUGACAAACCGGAGGAAGGUGGGGAUGACGUCAAGUCCUCAUGGCCCUUAUGGGUAGGGCUUCACACGUCAUACAAUGGUCGGUACAGAGGGUCGCCAACCCGCGAGGGGGAGCCAAUCCCACAAAGCCGAUCGUAGUCCGGAUCGCAGUCUGCAACUCGACUGCGUGAAGUCGGAAUCGCUAGUAAUCGUGGAUCAGCAUGUCACGGUGAAUACGUUCCCGGGUCUUGUACACACCGCCCGUCACACCAUGGGAGUGGGUUCCACCAGAAGUAGGUAGUCUAACCGCAAGGAGGGCGCUUACCACGGUGGGAUUCAUGACUGGGGUG